rnacentral:lncRNA from 1 species
GCCGAGCCGGCUCCACCCAUUGCCAACCCUAGUUAGCACUCUCCGGUGAAAAGAACGAAGAUAAAGGAAGAUUGACCAUCGGUGAACUAUGAAGGAGAGAAACAUUGACCGCCGGUGAAGGAGGGAAACUUUGUCUGAUAAUUUGUAGAGAGAGAGAGAGAAUAGAAAGUCAGAGAAGAAAAAGAAAAUGAAACGGGAUAAUUCUGGUUUGGGUAUAUAGGAACAUUUCCUCUGAUUUUUGAAAUCGUAAUUUAAGAAUUCUGGUUUCCUGUAAUUUCCUCUUUUUUUUUUUUAAAUUUAGGCAGGCCCAAAUCAAUGAAUCACCCAUAGACCAUCGACCAGAUUACUUACCACUACCAGAGGUCCCGACUCCAGAAUCAGUUUCCUGUUUUUCCCUAAUUCUUGAUUUCCUUCCCAUCAAAACCGGGAGCCAGAGGCAAACCCUUCUUGAGUUCUUCAAUUCGUUCCCCAAUUCCUUCUCGUCAAACUAGUCACCUGAGUUCACUGAUUGAGCUAGUAGCUGUAGCAGCGUGAACGGACUGAAGUGAACGGUGAACCCACUGACAUGAUUCGCCAUUUUUUUUUUCUAAGUCUCUCAUUCUCUAAGUCUCUGACUCUGUCUGUGAUUUUUUGUGCAAUUUUUCAUGUAUUUAUAAAUUAUACAGAUAACCCAUCUAUAUUAUGGUCCAAUUUUUGGGUCGUUGAUGAAUUUAGCUUCGGUUUUUAUUAAAAUAUUGUUUAUUGUGCUUUGCCACUUUGGUGUAAUUCAGAUUUCAGUGUGUGAUAUUGUUUAUUGUGCUUUGCCAAUCACUUUCGUGUAAUUUAAUGCCUGAUUAUGUGAUUGAAUCAUUGAACCUGCUUGUUUUGAUGAAGCCCAUUUUAUGAUUUUGAUAAUUAG